rnacentral:rRNA from 1 species
AUUGAACGCUAGCGGGAUGCCUAACACAUGCAAGUCGAGCGGAGCGGCGAACGGGUGAGUAAUGCCUAGGAACCUGCCCGGUAGCGGGGGAUAACGUCCGGAAAGGGGAGCUAAUACCGCAUACUAUCGGAGCAGCCUAGGUCGGAUUAGCUAGUUGGUGGGGUAAAGGCCUACCAAGGCGACGAUCCGUAACUGGUCUGAGAGGAUGAUCAGUCACACUGGAACUGAGACACGGUCCAGACUCCUACGGGAGGCAGCAGUGGGGAAUAUUGGACAAUGGGCGAAAGCCUGAUCCAGCCAUGCCGCGUGUGUGAAGAAGGUCUUCGGAUUGUAAAGCACUUUAAGUUGGGAGGCGUUACCAACAGAAUAAGCACCGGCUAACUUCGUGCCAGCAGCCGCGGUAAUAC